CGAGAGAGAGAAGGGAAGAAACACCAAGGAAAAUCUCUCCAUUUCUUUUUGAAUCAAGCUACUAAAUGAGAAAACAAAAGAAAGAAACCGAUUAAACUCACCUUUGAGUGAUUAGUUAGUGAUUGUUGGUGAGAUUUUGGAAAGGGAAAGCUAAGGCUACACUUGGUGAACUCUAAUCAAGGUAAGAAAGAUGAUCUCUCUAAUUUUUACUUUCAAUCUUGUUUAAAUUAAGCUUAGUAACUCAAUUUGUGGUGGAAUCAUGGAUGUUAUCAUGUUUUGGAGGUUUUCCCCUUUUUGAUAUGAUGAACUAGGGUUUGAGACUUUCUGCUAAUUUGAUGUAUGAUGCAUAUAUGUUGUAAUUAAGGUUGUAUAAGGGGUUUUGGUAGUGAUUGAAGUAAGAAAUUGAGGAAGGUUGCAUUAAAAAUUGAAAAUUCCAGAUUUCUGGAAAAUUCUGCUUCCAUUCUGUCCGGUUUUGUAACCUCAUGUUAGAGGCCGAAUUGGCCUUAGGUCAAAGAAUAAAAGUUGUAUAGAAUGGUAUUUUAUAGGUGCAUACAAAAUUUCAACUCAAUCGGAGCAACGUAGGUCGUGAAAAGUCCAAAAUACCCUUACUGUUUUAAGUUUUUCCCCAGCAGUCCGUUUGGUCAGUUUGUCCAGUUUAUCAUAUUUUUUCACUAGGAUCCAUACUGAUUUAGCUUUUUGGAAAAACAUGAAAGUUGUAGUAUUCUGACUUAGCUUUUAAACGCCUCUAAGAACACCUGAAUCAGACUUUUGUAACCUGAGAUAUGACCAUUACAGUACAAUGCGGUUAGAUAGCCGACAAGUUGGAUUUUGGUUCUGUAAUUUGAGGAUUUGACUAAGUUGCAUUAGAAACUGGACUAAAUGACCUUCAUGAACAUUGUAGCCCUGUGUCUUAGCAUCGAAACGGAAUAGGUUGCGCCUCAAUCCGAUAAGCGUAGCCUCGGAUGUGUUAUUUCCGCAUCCACACGUCAAAUCUGUCUUUUACUAGAUUGUAUUUCUGCACUUGUUAUUAUUGUGAUUCUUAUUCUUAUGAUGUUGUGAGCCUAUGGAACGGCUUUUGACUUGAAUUAUGAUAUGUGUGACUUUGGGUUGUGGCUGAGGAAAAAUAAUGAAGCCUAAAUGGCUGAAAAAUUAGGUAAACACAAAGGGCAUACUGCCCGAAUUUACGCUCGAGGACUAGAAAACUAUAUUUGCAACUUGAGUAAAGGUUAAGUGAUUAUCACUUGAACUAGCGAGAACCUUUGCUACUUUGUUUUUCGAGGGUUAUACAUUAGGACUUGGCCGAACUUGUACCCUUGAGGAAAAGACAUAAUGACCAAUGUAAACUUGAAUUUCCUUGUACUUUCAACUCAAGUGUUAUUUCCAAGCAUCUAUACUAUAAAACUUUACGAUUUGAAAAGCGAGCAAGUGUUUCACGAGUGUUUUUCAAAUGAAUUUCAAUUGGUCGAUUCUUAAUGAACGGGACGUUUAAGUUUCGAAUCCUACUCGUGUUUCAAAGUUCUCAAACUGAAUUUUUAUCGUAGAUCUGGACUCCAAGCCUGGAGUAUAAUUGAACGUGAAUACUUGAAACACUAUAUUUUGGUGAGUGCUUCCAAAUAUCCGAUUGUACUUGAUACAUGUAUUCCUUACUUGACUUGUAUGAUUACAUGAAAAUGAAUGAUAGGGCAAGGAUGUACUUUACCGUACUUGCCCUAAUAUGACUUGUUCUUGUUAUUAAUUACACUUGACUUGCUCUACAUGUACUUGAGAUAUGUGUUGCCUGGAAUUUCAGAAACCCUGUGGCUAGUUAAUCGAGUCGAGCCGGUAAGGGUCUGGUCGAUUAGAUAACAAACCCUGGGUCACUUGUAAUGUCAAGUGGAGUGUUAUCUUCUCGACUAAACGGUAUACUCGAGUAUUACCACUCAUGUUUCGUGUGGCGUGCGGGCCCGGGAAAGGGCGUUGAUCGGUGGACGGAGAUUGGCGUAUAGUGGAGUUUUAUUUUGGACUUGUUAUAACUUGAAAGUUGGCGGAGUGUCAACUACCACUUGACCAAGCUGGAAUGGAGUCGUGAUAUGGGUUACUGUAUCCUUACAUGUGAAAGUGAACCUGAUAUUACUUGGCUAUCUGAAGUACUAUUUUCCUGAUUGGACUUGUUUGCUCGUUAUUUCACUAUUACUUUGUUAUCACUUGAUUUGUUGACCAAUUUGAUAUUUGGGAACUUCACUGAGCUUUGGCUCAUCCCGUUAGUUUUGUUUUCCUUACAGGGGUACGAGCGAAGCGUGAGACUUGAAAUGACUAGUGUAG
rnacentral:lncRNA from 1 species